CCUACGGGAGGCAGCAGUAGGGAAUCUUCCACAAUGGGCGAAAGCCUGAUGGAGCAACGCCGCGUGAGUGAUGAAGGCCUUCGGGUUGUAAAACUCUGUCAUUCGGGACGAACCGGAGUCUGAGGAAAUGCAGACUCUCUGACGGUACCGGAGGAGGAAGCCCCGGCUAACUACGUGCCAGCAGCCGCGGUAAUACGUAGGGGGCAAGCGUUGUCCGGAUUCACUGGGCGUAAAGCGCGCGCAGGCGGUGAUGUAAGUCUGAGGUGAAAACCCGAAGCUCAACUUCGGGACUGCCUUGGAUACUGCGUCACUUGAGGAUAGGAGAGGCAAGGGGAAUUCCACGUGUAGCGGUGAAAUGCGUAGAGAUGUGGAGGAACACCUGUGGCGAAGGCGCCUUGCUGGCCUAUUUCUGACGCUGAGGCGCGAAAGCGUGGGGAGCAAACAGGAUUAGAUACUCUGGUAGUCCACGCUGUAAACGAUGAGUGCUAGGUGUAGGUGGGCUCAUACCCAUCUGUGCCGAAGCUAACGCAUUAAGCACUCCGCCUGGGGAGUACGGUCGCAAGACUGAGACUCAAAUGAAUUGACGG
rnacentral:rRNA from 1 species